CGGCCACCACGGCUAAUUUUUUAUAUUUUUAGUAGAGAUGGGGUCAGGAGAUCAAGACCAUCCUGUGUAGGGACCAGCCCUACAGGGUCAGUGGGUCUCGCCCCGUGUGUGGAGAUGAGAGAGUGUAGAAAUAAAGACAGAACACAAAGAGAUAAAAGAAAAGACAGCUGGGCCAGGGGGACCACUACCACCAAGUCGCAGAGACCGGUAGUGGCCCCAAAUGGCAGGCUGCACUGAUAUUUAUUGGAUACAAGACAAAGGAGCAGGGUAAAGAGUGUGAGCCAUCUCCAGUCAUAGGUAAGGCCAUGUGGGUCAUGUGUCCACUGAACGGGGGCCCUUCCCUGCCUGGCAGCCUAGGCAGAGAGAGGGAGAGGAGACAGAGAGAGAGACAGCUUACGCCAUUAUUUCUGCGUAUCAGAGACUUUUAGUACUUUCACUAAUUGACUACUGCUAUCUAGAAGGCAGAGCCAGGUGUACAGGAUGGAACAUGAAGGUGGACUAGGAGUGUGACCACUGAAGCACAGCAUCACAGGGAGACGGUUAGGCCUCCGGAUAACUGCGGGCGGGUCUGACUGAUGUCAGGCCCUCCACAAGAGGUGGAGGAGCAGAGUCUUCUCUAAACUCCCCAGGGGAAAGGGAAACUCCCUUUCCCUGUCUGCUAAGUAGCAGGUGUUUUCCCUUGACACUGACGCUACUGCUAGACCAUGGUCUGCUUGGCAACAGGUGUCUUCCCAGAUGCUGGCAUCACCGCUACACCAAGGAGCCCUCUGGUGGCCCUGUCCUGGCAUAACAGAAGGCUCGCACUCUUGUCUUCUGGUCACUCCUCACUAUGUCC
rnacentral:lncRNA from 10 species